rnacentral:rRNA from 1 species
UACGUAGGGGGCUAGCGUUGUCCGGAAUCAUUGGGCGUAAAGCGCGCGUAGGCGGCCCGGUAAGUCCGCUGUGAAAGUCAAAGGCUCAACCUUUGAAUGUCAGCGGAUACUGCCGGGCUAGAGUCCGGAAGAGGCGAGUGGAACUCCUGGUGUAGCGGUGGAAUGCGCAGAUAUCAGGAAGAACACCAACGGCGAAGGCAGCUCGCUGGGACGGAACUGACGUUGAGGCGCGAAAGCGUGGGGAGCGAACAGG